AUGGCCCAAGAAAACGCUCAUUCUUCAGCCGUAGAGAGACUUUUGAAUUGUGAGGUACCAUUACGAGCUCAAUAUAUAAGAGUGUUAUUCUGUGAAAUAACUCGAAUUUCAAAUCAUUCACUUGCUUCAACUACUCAUGCUAUGGAUGUGGGAGCAUCAACUCCGUUCCUUUGGGCUUUUGAGGAGCGGGAGAAAUUGUUGGAAUUCUAUGAAAGAGUCCCGGGAGCCAGGAUGCAUGCCAGUUUCAUACGACCUGGUGGAGUGGCACAAGAUCUGCCUAUUGGCUCAUGUCGAGAUAUUGAUUCCUCCACACAACAGUUUGCUUCUCGUAUCGACGAAUUAGAAGAGAUGUCAACUGGCAACCGUAUCUGGAAACAACGAUUAGUGGAUAUUGGUACUGUCACUGCACAUCAAGCAAAGGAUUGGGGAUUCAGUGGUGUAAUGUUAAGAGGUCGUGCGACAUGA
rnacentral:rRNA from 1 species